AAUGUACUCCCUCCGUCCUGAAAUAAGUGACGUGGAUUUGUAUUGAUUUUCUAUACAAAUCCAUUUUCUAUACAAAUCCACGUCACUUAUUUCAGGACGGAGGGAGUACUAA
rfam:Brachypodium distachyon strain Bd21 chromosome 2, whole genome shotgun sequence.